rnacentral:rRNA from 1 species
AGAAUCAACGCUGGCGGCGUGCCUAACACAUGCAAGUCGAACGAGAAAGGGGAGCAAUCCCUGAGUAAAGUGGCGACCGGGUGAGUAACACGUGACUAACCUACCUUCGAGUGGGGGAUAACCUCGGGAAACCGAGGCUAAUACCGCAUAACAUCGUGAGAUCAAAGCAGUAAUGCGCUGGAAGAGGGGGUCGCGGCUGAUUAGCUAGUUGGCGGGGUAAUGGCCCACCAAGGCGAAGAUCGGUAGCCGGCCUGAGAGGGCGCACGGCCACACUGGAACUGAAACACGGUCCAGACUCCUACGGGAGGCAGCAGUGGGAAUUUGCGCAAUGGGGGAAACCCUGACGCAGCAACGCCGCGUGGAGGAUGAAGUCCCUUGGGACGUAAACUCCUUUCGACCAAGACGAUAAUGACGGUACUGGUGGAAGAAGCACCGGCUAACUCUGUGCCAGCAGCCGC